AGGUAUUAUAUUUUUGUAUGAUCAAAAUGAACUCUGGAUUUGGAAAGUAACUAUUAGUCUUUCUUUUUUAAAGAACCAUCAUUUUUUCAUCAAAAUGAAUUAACUGUCCUCAAUAGUCACAUUUAUUCAGAGUGACUAUUUGCAUGACUCAAACCUAGGCCCGGGUCGAAAAUUUGCACCCAAAGUCAAAGUACCUAUAAUGGUUAUCUUUGAAAUAUGCAAAUCUAAUGAGAGUGGAAAUUCUAGACGUCAUGUUGUACGAGACAUAUAUUAUGAUGAUGUGGUUGUCGAAUUUCUUUGUUUUCAUUUUACCUUUGAUUAUAAAGGACACUUAAAUCAUUACACUUGCACGAACCACAUAUUUUCAUUUGGCUGUAAAGAAAAAUAAAAGCACCUUAUUACCAAACAAGUGAAAUAUCAUUUCAUGUCAUUUGGAACAAGAUGCCAGCAACAAACUACUUGGCCAAAAAAAAAAAACUACUUCGCCACUUGACUUAGAUACC
rnacentral:lncRNA from 1 species